UGGGGAAUAUUGCACAAUGGGCGCAAGCCUGAUGCAGCCAUGCCGCGUGUGUGAAGAAGGCCUUCGGGUUGUAAAGCACUUUCAGCGGGGAGGAAGGCGUUAAGGUUAAUAACCUUGGCGAUUGACGUUACCCGCAGAAGAAGCACCGGCUAACUCCGUGCCAGCAGCCGCGGUAAUACGGAGGGUGCAAGCGUUAAUCGGAAUUACUGGGCGUAAAGCGCACGCAGGCGGUCUGUCAAGUCGGAUGUGAAAUCCCCGGGCUCAACCUGGGGACUGCAUUCGAAACUGGCAGGCUAGAGUCGUGUAGAGGGGGGUAGAAUUCCAGGUGUAGCGGUGAAAUGCGUAGAGAUCUGGAGGAAUACCGGUGGCGAAGGCGGCCCCCUGGACAAAGACUGACGCUCAGGUGCGAAAGCGUGGGGAGCAAACAGG
rnacentral:rRNA from 1 species